CAAACCUGCCCAAACGCACAUCGGCACAAACACACACACACGCACAGGGCGAAGCUGCUGCGCCCUCCCUUCCAUGGGCAGAAAAGCCCGCGCACGCAAACAAAACGCAAGGGAAAGAUUUCAGUCGUUCAACUACGUCUGCGGGAAGUCGCUAGUGCUCUCUCCUGGGGCAUUUCUUUUUCUUAAACUUGGACCUGUGUCACAGGCGUCACCCUCCUACUAACGCUGCACAGCUGGAAUGCACUCUGGGCAUGUGCAUGUGGCGCCACCAAUCCGUACCGGGCAUCUACACUGAACCUGAGCCCUUGUUGACGUCUUAUCUUACCCCUUCUCUUUCUUUCCUCGCAGAAAACAGCACAUCUUUUUAUACAGCUUAGAUACUUGAUGCACGCACACACAUACACACACCAUCUCUCGCUUCUUGUGUCUCGUUGAUCUGGUACCUCCCUAGAAUAGAUUGGCCCGCGGUGCGGUGCGGCUGUGCAUAAUACAUACAUACACGUAUAUAUAUAUAUAUAUAUUGUUUCUCCUCUGAAACGAGUUUCUGUUCUCGUUGACCGCCGCCGUUUUAUGGCCGGCAUGUGCGCACGCAUUCGCACACUCCAUCUUUCUUCUUCCUUGGUGCAACCCUUACGCACACCUUCGCUGCAGUGUGUGUAGAGGAUUUCCCCUCCCACACCCAUACACGUACGCAUACACGCACACACACGCACACACACACACACACAGCAACGGAAGCGCAAGCAUGCCAUCGUGCGUCUUUACCCGCACCCAGGUGCUGGAAAGCCUCUCCGACGAAGUUGCUCGUCAGGAGGCGGAGUCGAUUCCAGAGUUCAUCUACUUUUUUCUGCGGGAUGUCUUCCUCGCCGUUGACGAGGACGGCGACGGCUACGUGACGGGCGAUGCUGUAUCACGCCUGUUCCCGGCCCUUGCGCCUGUGAGGGCAACAAAGGAUGCUGCCUCGUGCUCUGCAGCCUCCAGCCUCAUGACGCCGACGGUGCAUCCGACGUGGUGGAGUCCGACGUCGUAUGUCGCCCCCACGCGGUGCGCCGCCGCUGCCCAGCAGCGCCCUUUGGACUUGUGCGGUUUCAUGCAGACGUACUGGCCGAUGGUGAGCGAUAAGAUGGCACACUUCGUGGGUGACACAUGGAGUCAGCAUAGCAGCGACAACCUCAGUGGCUCUCGAAGACAAUGCGCAUCGGUGGUUCACCAGCCCAUCCUCACUCCCUCUCCGUCUCGCGACGUCUCGGCGUCGCCGCUGCGGGCACAACCGACCAGCCCUCCCGCUUCUUUCGUUACUGGCGGCCGCUUAGCCCCGUCGCCUGUUUGUGGGUCGGGCCCACUGACGGAGAGAGAGACGGUUUCCCCGGAGCAGCACCGCCUCUACCGUGAGGCUGUUCGGUGUCUGUGGACGAGCGGCUGCCCGCUGUUACCACAUGCCUUCACUCCCCCUGCGCCGUCUGUACCAUGUCCAAUGCUGCUGCCUUGUCCGCAGCGCCUUCUGACGGAGAGCGACAUGGAGGAGCUGUUGGUGGCCUUUUCCUACCUGGACAGAAACCAGAGCGGGUUCGUGGGCGUGGCGGACGUGGCCGCUGCACUGCAGUCGCUCCUUUGCAGAGCCGCGCGCGCUGGCCAGGGCAUUGUCUCUAUUGACACACCAGCAGAGGUGAGUGACGAGGUUCUGCAGCUUGCAAAUGCGAUGCUGCGCGUGGCCUUGUCCUUGACCACCACAACAGGCGAAGCUGCUGCCACACAGGGUGUGCCUGCCUCUUCCGCACCUUCUUCCUCUAGCGGCCCUCCGGCUGUGCCCUCGUCGUCCCGAAGCGGUCCCUGCGUGAGCUGGACGGCGUUCGCGCGUUCGUUCCAGUGCGACACGGGCGCCUUUCCAGCAGAACUCAUCGCGUGGUGCGCAACGUGCGCUCGCGCAAGCCGCGAGCUGCCCGCACGCGCGCUGGCCACUGCGCCGCAGUGGAUGUCUCCGGUGGAGUGCGCCUACGUUCAGCAGCUGCUCGCCUCGUACGCCGACCUCCUGUGCGCUGAGAAGGGCAGUGCCUCUCCUCGCCCGUCGUCCACUGCGACAGAGAAGACAGAACCGGCCCCAGCGGCUGCGCUCUGCCCGCGCCUCUCUGUGAACACCCACUUCGCAAGGAAGCCGCCGCAAAGCUGCGGGUCGGCGGGCGCCUGCGGCGAUCGUCGGUACGGCCGAUAUUUGUGCCAGACGCAUGCGACUGCGGUCGCAUUGCAGCAGUGGUGCCAACGCGCGAACGCACAAGCGAAGCAUUUGGCAGAGAGCGACAUGAACACUCUACCGCUGGCUCUGCUGGAGGCGAGCCUUCGACGAGAUCUACAGGCAUUCCUGUUUCCUAAGGCAUUCGAGUUCUCUGCCGCGGCAGGGGCGGCACUGGCGGAGGUGUUGGAACACCAUGUGCAGGCCGUGUGCGCGCUCGCACAAGGUGCAGCCCUUCUCCCUGCUCUCUGUCAUUCCCCGAACGCGAGGAUGGAAGGCGAAGCGUCGCCACUUCGGGGUCUCGCCGGGCAUUAUGGGGAGUCGGUGCACGUGGACCUGGACAAGUUAGUCGACGUCAUCACCGCGGAUCCGCGGUACUUACAGCUGGAGGUACUGGUGCCUUUGGAGUCACGGCUGGCCGCCGUCGUGGACGCUGCUCGGCACCAUCCGCGGCGCCUCGUUGAGAAGGCCGUAGGGCUUAUUUCUGUGUUUGUGCAUGGCGCACGACUGAACGGCGGCUCAGAGCUGGCGGACGUGCUGGAGCUGCGGCGUGCGCUGUCCACGGUUUCCCCUUCGCUGGCGCGGCUCAUCACCGGGGCCACCAGCUUCUGCGAGGGCCGACUGCGCUUGGAGGAGUGCAUGGUCACGAUCUCUACCCACGUCCUAUCGGUGCCGCCGCCUUUGCCCGUGCCCGUUUUCCCAGCCUUUGCAGGCGGUGUUCUUCCAAGCGCGCCAGUGACCACGCACGACGACGCGGCGAUUGCUUUGCGCGAUCAUCCUUGCUACGCAAUGCUGCAGGACACGCGCUUGCUGAAGGCAUCGCAUGGCUGGCUGCGCUACGCGUGCCGACGGAUGCCACCCCGCGAGCAGCGCACUGUCAUUGAUGCGCUAAGGCUCAGUUGCGGUAGCAGCAGCCGAGGAGGGAGCUUAUUCGAAGCCGCCAGCGGCGGCUUCGGUGCAAUCCUCGAUACGAGGCUCGACAACAGGAAGCAGCAACGCUCUCUUUCCGCGUGCGACGUGUACAGCGCGAUGCUGCCACGGGUCAGGGCAAGCUGCUGGGUAUGCAGAAUGGACCCUGUCGUGGCGGCGCACGCCACCCUGGUCCUGAUCGCUGCCAGCGGCAGCGCCGACACCGCCGCUCUGACGGAGGAGUCUGUGUGGUGGGCGGGUGUUUACACUUUGCUGGGGCAGUGGGUCCACGCCCAGCAUAUCGGUCGCUGUCUUUUAGAGAGCACUGAUGCAUGGGCUAUGAAUGCCAUCACAUGUACUGCUGCGGAGCUGGGACUCUCGUGCUGCCGAGCUGUGAGUCAGGUACUUAGUCACCUACCCGUCGCAUCAUCAACCGCAUCGCGCGUGGUGGUGGUUGAGGAGGAGCUGACGCAGUCUCUGACUCGUGUCGUCGAGUCCCUCUCUCUGUGGGCGACUCCGCCGUCGGCGAAUCCAGAAUGGCAGUCGUCUUCCGCCGCGGCGUGUGCGCGGCUUGUCGACACGCUCGUUGGAUCGUGUCCUCGCCGCGAGUCAACGCUAGUGGAUGUCUCCGCGCUGCUUCGGCGGUGGCUGGAGGCGUACCCUUUGCCACUUCCAGUCACGCAUCUGUCGCUGUGCUGCGCGGUCGAGGAGGUCGGGUCUGUGUACUACACGCUAAAGCGGCUCGCCGCCUCAGAGGAGACUCAGCGUCGACGAAGCGAGACGCCGACAGGCGGGGCUGCGGCGCCGACCCGCGCCGUCAGCGAGGGACGCGCAACCGCAACUGCAGCGAGCAGACAAGCCUCAUCUGCACCCGUCGUGACCGGCAUCAGCCCGGUGUGCUUGUCGGAGCUUCUGGAGAACGAGGACCUUCUCCUCGCUCUGUAUGCCGUCAGCCCGCCAGAGGCAGUCGGUGUAUGGGGCGGUGCACUGCGCCGUCUCGGCGCCCUGCUUCGCCCGGUGUUGCUAAGCUCAACGGGCGUACGAGUGUCGCUGGACAAGCUCAGUGCGCGGUCGUCGGAGAGUGGAGGCGCUGUGGCGACGGCGGUGCCCAGCUCGACAUAUUUUCCACGACCUUCGAUGGCCACUUUGCACCGAAACGGCGGCCAAAGUUCCUUGGCAGACACGCUUCUGUCCAUGGCUGUGCCUGCGUCUCUGCAGCACGCCAUGGCUCAGCUCUUCGCCCGCGUCGACGUCGAGGGCACAGGCGCGGUGACCGAGGAUCAGCUGCGCAGUCACCGAUCGCGGGUGCCGGCCUCUGCCCGAUACGGAUGGCACCGCUUUGUGACCGCUUUGUGCAGCAGCACUGCCAUGACCUCAUCGCCAUCGUCGUCUUCUGGAACGGCGCCGUGCUCCUUGAUCUCUGGCGGUCUGUCAGCCGGAGUGCUUCGGUCGCAUCGGUGGAGCCGUCGACGCCGUGCCGCUGUAGCGACUCUGAGCUGCGCUGGCGAGGCUCAGCCGCAGGCAGAGCAGAUCUCAUGCUCGUCUGUCGCCACGCAGCACACGGAUGACGACGUGGCCACCACCUAUAGCCUCGGAGAUAUGCUGAUGCGCAUGGCGGAGCUGCGUGUCUGCGUUCAAGCGCAGCUCUUGGAAGAGAGCAGCACGCGGGCAAAGGCAGAGGCUAGCGUUUUUGUGGCCAGAAAAACGGGCCUUGCACUGACCAGGGCUAUCACGGAUGCUGACUCGCCCUUGUCGACGGCCGCUGGUCAGAAAGCGGCGGUCUCUUCGCCACCGACGGCGGGGACGGCGCAAUGGUGGGCAACGUACCUGGAGGAGCUCUGCCGAAGCUACUCUCCUCUGGCUCUGUAAUGCUGCGUCGUGCGUAGGUCAACGGAGUCGCUUUAGUCAGCGGCAAGCAGCAGCUAUCCACCCCCUUUCUAUUUUCAUUUCAAGCGUACCCUUGUCGUUUCUGCACCCUCCGUGCCUGUGCACACGCUGGUCAGCUGCCUCGCGCGCCGGAAGGGGGUCAAGGGUGAAGCUCAAUCAGCAGGCAAGCGAGUGGCGGCUGCCGCUGAUAUAGGGUAGAAGCGGCUGAAGCUGUCGAGCGUCUCACCGCAAAGGCGCUCGCGAUCGAAGUCUGCUUCUCUUUUUUGAAGGCUUGUCUCUCAAUGGGGGCAGCUCUGUCCUGGUUGCUGUGGUGAGUUAUAUGCUGCG
rnacentral:misc_RNA from 1 species